UACGUAGGGGGCAAGCGUUAUCCGGAAUCACUGGGUGUAAAGGGAGCGUAGACGGCUGUGCAAGCCUGAAGUGAAAGGCGGGGGCCCAACCCCUGGACUGCUUUGGGAACUGUACGGCUGGAGUGCAGGAGAGGUAAGUGGAAUUCCUAGUGUAGCGGUGAAAUGCGUAGAUAUUAGGAGGAACACCAGUGGCGAAGGCGGCCUGCUGGACGGUGACUGACGCUGAGGCUCGAAAGCGUGGGGAGCAAACAGG
rnacentral:rRNA from 1 species